rnacentral:lncRNA from 1 species
AUGGAGGCUACGUCAGUGGCAUCAGAGGCUGCUUCUGGGGUGGUAGCGACAGAGGCUACGUCGGGGGUGGUAGCGUCGGAGGCUGCUUCCGGGGCGGCAGCGUCAGAGGAUGCUUCUGGGGUGGUAGCGACAGAGGCUACGUCGGGGGCGGCAGCGUCAGAGGCUGCUUCUGGGGUGGUAGCGACAGAGGCUACGUCGGGGGCGGCAGCGUCAGAGGCUGCUUCUGGGGUGGUAGCGACAGCGGCUACGUCGGAGGCGGCAGCGUCAGAGGCUGCUUCUGGGGCGGCAGCGUCAGAGGCUGCUUCGGGGGUGGUAACGACAGAGGCUACAUCGGGGGCAUCAGAGGUAGCUUCUGGGGUGGUAGCGACAGAGACUACGUCAGGAGCGGCAGCGUCAGAGGCUGCUUCGGGGGUGGCAGCAUCAGAAGCUGCUUCGGGAGAGGCAGAGGCUGCUUUGGGAGUGGUAGCGACGGAGGCUACAUCUGGGGCAGCAGAGACGACCUCGGAGGCGGCAGCGUCAGAGGCUGCUUCUGGGGCGGUAGCAACGGAGGCUACUUCAGGGGCGGCAGCGUCAGAGGCUGCUUCUGGGGCGGCAGCGUCAGAGGCUGCUUCUGGGGAGGCAGAGGCUGCUUUGGGAGUGGUAGCGACGGAGGCUACAUCUGGGGCAGCAGCGACGACCUCGGAGGCGGCAGCGUCAGAGGCUGCUUCUGGGGCGGUAGCAACGGAGGCUACUUCAGGGGCGGCAGCGUCAGAGGCUGCUUCUGGGGCGGCAGCGUCAGAGGCUGCUUCGGGGGAGGCAGAGGCUGCUUUGGGAGUGGUAGCGACGGAGGCUACAUCUGGGGCAGCAGCGACGACCUCGGAGGCGGCAGCGUCAGAGGCUGCUUCGAGGGUGGCAGAGGCUGCAUCGAUGGCAGCAGAAGCUGCAUCGAGCAAGGCAGCGCCCGAGGCUUCUUUGGGUGUGACAGAAAAUCUUUCCAAUGCUACAAAGGCAGCUUCGAGGGCGGCGGAGCUUGCUUCAAGGGUGGAAGCUCCAAAGGCUGCGUUGACGGCGUCAGAGACCGCUCUGAUGGUGGCAUUGGUAGAGGCUGCUUCGAGGUUGACAGCGUCAGAAGCUCUUCCUAGGGCGGCUGCGGCUGUCCUGAAGGCGGGAGGCAGGAGACGUGGAGUCGGAGCUGAAGCCAGAGCAGUAUUGGUGAGUGAAGCUGAAACCCUGGAGCCGGAAUCCAGGCGGCAUGGAACC